rnacentral:misc_RNA from 1 species
UUAUAUAGUAUUUUAUACCACUCGGACAACACUAAAUGCAGAGUUAAAGGUCCUUUGACAAGCUCUCUCCCAGCCGAAGCCAGGCGCCCAAAAGGCGGCCUGCCGAAGCAACAAAAGUAUUAACACAGGGUGGGAGGUCUACCCGUUGAGGGCAUGAUCUCUGUAAUGAUCCUUCCGCUGGUUCACCAACGGAAA